rnacentral:rRNA from 1 species
UACGUAGGGGGCAAGCGUUGUCCGGAAUCAUUGGGCGUAAAGAGCGUGUAGGCGGCCCGAUAAGUCCGCCGUGAAAGUCCAGGGCUCAACCCUGGAAUGCCGGUGGAAACUGUCGGGCUGGAGUCCGGAAGAGGCGAGUGGAAUUCCUGGUGUAGCGGUGAAAUGCGCAGAUAUCAGGAAGAACACCAAUGGCGAAGGCAGCUCUCUGGGACGGUACUGACGCUGAGACGCGAAAGCGUGGGGAGCGAACAGG